rnacentral:lncRNA from 1 species
ACCUUGAAGUCGCGAUUGUAAACGGAGCCGUUAGAGGAACGUUGAGAGGCCUUCCCUCCGCUCUCGUGACGUUGAUAGGGAAUGUCUUCAUCAGACUCUCAAAUCCUAGAGUUAGAGAAGGGUAGUGGGUUUCUGGAUUUGAAGAGGAAGGUUUUCCCACUGCCGUGACAAUGGAGGUGAGGUUUAUUCUGCGACGGUGUGAGGCUAAUCGAGUGGUUUUCUUUUUACAGGAAGGAGGAGUUGGGGACGAUAUGAGUGUAAAGGAGACGGUUUUGGUUGGGCAUAUGCAAGGGGAGAACACUCCGGCGAUGGUCAGCGACAUCUUAGGAG